AUGAAUUGCAUCAGUUGGAACUGUCGGGGUGUGGCCAACAAACCGACGGUUCGUGAUCUAGUGGGUCUUAUAAGGUCCGCUAAAGCAAAUUUGGUCUUUCAGUGUGAAACUAGGCAAAAAGCUGAAAAAGUUCGUCGCCUUUGAGGGAGGUUAGGCUUAAGUGGUUUUGCUGGUUCUGAUAGUGAUGGCCUUAGUGGUGCUCUGGCUCUGUUC
rnacentral:rRNA from 1 species